UUGAUUUCUGGAUAAAUUAAAUUAUAAAUUUUUAAAAAUUUAUCCUUGAACUUGUUUUAUUGAAUUCUUAUAUCAUUGUCAUCAUCCUCAUGCUUAUAUUAUGUUGAAAGUCAUCUGUGGCCUGUAGUGCAUAGAUGAACUUGGUAUGUUAUGACCAGGGAUUAUUCGAUAUAAUCAUGACCGUAAUGUUACAAAUGAUGUGGUAAAAGUCCUCAUUG
rnacentral:lncRNA from 1 species